rnacentral:rRNA from 1 species
CACGUAGGGUGCGAGCGUUGUCCGGAAUUAUUGGGCGUAAAGAGCUCGUAGGCGGUGUGUCGCGUCGGCCGUGAAAACCUGCAGCUUAACUGUGGGCUUGCGGUCGAUACGGGCAUCACUGGAGUUCGGCAGGGGAGACUGGAAUUCCUGGUGUAGCGGUGAAAUGCGCAGAUAUCAGGAGGAACACCGGUGGCGAAGGCGGGUCUCUGGGCCGAUACU